rnacentral:rRNA from 1 species
UACGUAGGGUGCAAGCGUUGUCCGGAUUUAUUGGGCGUAAAGAGCUCGUAGGCGGUGUGUCGCGUCGGCCGUGAAAACCUGCAGCUUAACUGUGGGCUUGCGGUCGAUACGGGCAUCACUGGAGUUCGGCAGGGGAGACUGGAAUUCCUGGUGUAGCGGUGGAAUGCGCAGAUAUCAGGAGGAACACCGGUGGCGAAGGCGGGUCUCUGGGCCGAUACUGACGCUGAGGAGCGAAAGCGUGGGGAGCGAACAGG